UAAGUUGGUAGUGAAGCGUGGGGCUCAACCUCAUAUCCAUUAUCAAACUGCACUGACUAGAGAAUGAGAGAGGUCGCUGGAAUUUCUUGUGUAGGAGUGAAAUCCGUAGAUAUAAGAAGGAACACCGAUGGCGUAGGCAGGCGACUGGCUCAUUUCUGACGCUCAGGCACGAAAGCGUGGGAGCGACCGGGAUUAGAUACCCCGUUAGUCCACGCCGUAAACGAUGGAUGCUA
rnacentral:rRNA from 1 species